ensembl:lncRNA
GAAUGCUUUCAAAGACCUGCUUAAACAAAAGCUGUGAACCUAAAUCAGUCUGCUCUAUUAGAAGCUGGAGGAGUGGUAUGUAGCAUACUGUAAGGAUCAACAUCAGUAUGCAGGAUGUAGCACACGAUCCUGGAGGCCAGUACAUCCAAGACACAGUGGUUCUGUGUUACUUUAAGAAGACUGUGAGAUGUAAUCACUGCAGGAGGUGAUUUUUCCUUUGAUAGCUUCUGCCCCAUGGAGCUGCUGAGCUUGCUCAAAAGGCACCAGCUUCCAGACAUGGCUGUAUGUGGCAGACCAAGGCAGUACCAGAAAGAGAGAGGAAGCCUGAGGAUCAUUCAGAGACAUGAUGUGAUAUCCAGACCUCACAGGUGUUGGAAAAGGACUUCCUGAAAAUCACAGAGGACUGGACAGUGUUCACUGCAAAUCAAGGACAUAUAAAAUCACACUUGGAAGAAGGGCUCUGCCUGCCAGAAAACAGCCAUUUGAUCAUGUUUUUAAUGUCCAUCUCACUUUACCUUGUCACUUUGUGUGUUUGGAAGCUGACUAUAUGAUUGGAAAAUAAAAAUGAAAAAUAAAAGUUAUAUUCUACAAGGAGAAAACCUAUUAAGAACUUGGUUGCCUGUGAAGAGACAGAAGGAAAUCUCUGUACCUUCCACUGUUGGAGAAAGUACAGGCAGAGACAUAUUAAGGCUCUGUUUAGUCAGUCAUAUCACACCACUGAUGGACUCAUUUAAGCUGCUGCAGUCAUGGAGAUCACUGAAUCAGGCUUUUGUGAAAACUGACAGCAUGUGGUGAUUUAACUUUUUGUAUUGCAUGAUUUGUGUAUCUUUCCUACCAUCUGACAACUAUAAGGCACAGUGUUCCUUCAGUUUAUUCAUGGAAAAAAGUUUACACAUUUUUGUGUAACGUAUGUAACGUGUAAUGUAUGUAGUUACACAUUUUUGUGUAACGUAUGUCUUUUUGUUGUUUUGAUUUUAAGUGAAUGUACUUAUAGAAAACUGAUUUUGAAAAUCAAGAUGUUUAUAUCCUUACAUUACAGAGAAUUAUUAAAAACAAAUGCUUCCUGUAUUCAUUAUGGCUUAGAGAUAAAAACAACUAGGUGAAUUACUGCCAGUGAAAUACUCCAGCUUUAACAAAGGUUUUCUCUAAUGAUGAUAGUAAUUACAGCUGAGUACGUUCCAGGACUUCAAAUUCUCAGGCACACAUUUCAUCCAUGCUGUCACUUGAGAUAUUUAGAUUUCAGAUUUUUAAAAUGAUAUAGCUGACCAAGUAUUUUUUCAUGGUGAUUGGAACAAGUAAAUAUGAGAUCAAAGCACUUUGUUACCAUCUCAAGAUGCUGAUAAAUAGCAACAUCAGAAUGGUGUGGAACAGAUGGAUGUUCUCAUUUGUAUACCAGGUGAGUAAUUUCUCUCCAAAUGGAAGGCUUCCAGCUCAGCUUUGUGGCAGUGCAGCAUAGUGUAGUGUGAAGUGUAGAAUAUUAUAUCUUAAUCUACUUUCAACUUAGUUUACAGGGUUGGGGAAUAACCAGUUAAUGAUCAAGAAAAUGAGAUGAUCACCUAUACAGAGGGAAGGAAGCCAGGUAUCUGAAGGUAUCAGAGUUUGUGAGAAACUUUGUGAUAUACUGUCUCUAGUAAUA